rnacentral:rRNA from 1 species
AUUUAUUGCCAUAGGAUGGGACUGCGGGCUAUCAGCUUGUUGGUGAGGUAAUGGCCCACCAAGGCUUUGACAGCUACGGGCUCUGAGAGGAGUAGCCCGGAGAUGGGUACUGAGACAAGGACCCAGGCCCUAUGGGGCGCAGCAGGCGAGAAAACUUUGCAAUGCGCGAAAGCUCGACAAGGUUAAUCUGAGUGGUUCCUGCUAAAGGAACCUUUUGUUAGUCGUAGAACCACUAUCGAAUAAGGGGUGGGCAAGUUCUGGUGUCAGCCGCCGCGGUAAAACCAGCACCUCAAGUGGUCAGGAUGAUUAUUGGGCCUAAAGCAUCCGUAGCCUGUUCUGUAAGUUUUCGGUUAAAUCUAUGCGCUCAACGUAUAGGCUGCCGAAAAUACUGCAGAACUAGGGAGUGGGAGAGGUAGACGGUACUCGGUAGGAAGGGGUAAAAUCCUUUGAUCUAUUGAUGACCACCUGUGGCGAAGGCGGUCUACCAGAACACGUUCGACGGUGAGGGAUGAAAGCUGGGGGAGCAAACCGGAUUAGAUACCCGGGUAGUCCCAGCUGUAAACGAUGCAAACUCGAUGAUGCGUUGGCUUAUUGCUAGCGCAGUGUCGCAGGGAAGCCGUUAAGUUUGCCGCCUGGGAAGUACGUACGCAAGUAUGAAACUUAAAGGAAUUGGCGGGGGAGCACCACAAGGGGUGAAGCCUGCGGUUCAAUUGGAGUCAACGCCUGAAACCUUACCCGGAGAGACAGCAGAAUGAAGGUCAAGCUGAAGACUUUACCAGACAAGCUGAGAGGUGGUGCAUGGCCGUCGCCAGCUCGUGCCGUGAGAUGUCCUGUUAAGUC